rnacentral:rRNA from 1 species
AUUGAAUGCUGGCGGCAUGCCUUACACAUGCAAGUCGAACGGCAGCGCGGGGCAACCUGGCGGCGAGUGGCGAACGGGUGAGUAAUAUAUCGGAACAUACCCUAGAGUGGGGGAUAACGUAGCGAAAGUUACGCUAAUACCGCAUACGCACUAAGGUGGAAAGUGGGGGAUUCGCAAGAACCUCAUGCUCAUGGAGUGGCCGAUAUCUGAUUAGCUAGUUGGUGAGGUAAAGGUUCACCAAGGCAACGAUCAGUAGCUGGUUUGAGAGAACGACCAGCCACACUGGAACUGAGACACGGUCCGAGACU